AUUGAACGCUGGCGGCAGGCCUAACACAUGCAAGUCGAACGAGCGGCGGACGGGUGAGUAAUGUCUGGGAAACUGCCUGAUGGAGGGGGAUAACUACUGGAAACGGUAGCUAAUACCGCAUACCAUCAGAUGUGCCUAGAUGGGAUUAGCUAGUAGGUGGGGUAACGGUUCACCUAGGCGACGAUCCCUAGCUGGUCUGAGAGGAUGACCAGCCACGCUGGAACUGAGACACGGUCAAGACUCCUACGGGAGGCAGCAGUGAGGAAUAGUGGGCAAUGGGCGCAAGCCUGAUGCAGCCAGGCCGCGUGAGUGAUGAAGGCCUUCGGGUUGUAAGGCACUGUCAGCGGGGAGGCGUUACCCGCAGAAGAAGCAGCGGCUAACACCGUGCCAGCGGCCGCGGUGAUUC
rnacentral:rRNA from 1 species